rnacentral:rRNA from 1 species
GACGAACGCUGGCGGCGUGCUUAACACAUGCAAGUCGAACGGAAAGGCCCUGAUUUUGUGGGGUGGUCGAGAGGCGAACGGGUGAGUAAAACGUGAGUAAACUGCCCUUGAAUUUGGGGGAACUCUAGGAAACAGGGGAUAAUACCGGGUAGGAGAUCCUGCAGCAUGGGGGGGGUUGGAAAGAGUCGGCGGUGGGGGAUGGAAUCGCGGCUUAUGAGCUUGUUGGGCGGGUAGGGGCUGACAAGGUCUUGGACGGGUAGCCGGCCUGAGGGGGUUACCGGCCACAUUGCUCCUGAGAUACGCCCCAGACGCCUACCUGAGGCAGCAGUGGGGAAUAUGACACAAUGGGCGGAAGCCUGUUGCAGCAACGCCGCGUUCGUGAUGACGGCCUUCGGGUUGUAAACCGCUUUCGCCUGUGACGAAGCCUGAUUGACGGUAAUUGGUAAAGAAGCACCGGCUAACUACGUG